GUUUCUUACAAGGAACAACAUUGAAUACAAUAAUACAAACAUUAGGUGGGAUCAAACUUGUUGCAUCACUUGCUUCGAUCUCAUGUUUACUUUACAAGGUACCACCACACAAUUAAGAAUAUUUAAAUCUUAAUAAAAACCGAAAAAGAAUUCUUCCUAUUGAAAAACUCUAAUCUUCUUAAGUCGACGUAAUACUAGUGAAACCAACCACACAAAUAAUAUACUUGCAUUUGCUUAUUUCCCAAAUCUACAAAUUCUUGAUGCAAAUGUGGACUAUGUAUCAAGGCUCUGGCUUAUCAAGAAAUUCAUUUUCAGCAGCAAUUCUGCCCGAGCCACAGCCCAUUUUCCCAAACGAGCCUACUGUCGAUAAACCCUUGAAACUGCUACUGCCCUCACUGAAGUUCCGGGACCUUCUAGACCUUCUCGGCUUUGAGGAGUUGACGUCAUGGUCGGUUUCACUGUCGUGUUUAACCUUGGCAACAAUCAGCUGAAUAAUGUUACUUCUGCAAAAUGGGCAAACUAGUAUGGAAGGACAUGCCGUUGUUGGGCUGGGCUUGUUAUGGCAGCACAAGGCCACUGUGCAUUGUGCGCACAUUUGGUGGCCACAUUCUUGAACCUCAAUUGUACAUACUUGAUCAAAACAUAUGCAGCAAAGAUCUGUAUCACUAGCCUGCACGAGAUUGUCUCCAAAUUAUCCUAGUUUUUCUUACAAGGGGUUUGCAAUAAACCAAAAGAUAUAUUGAUGUUCAUUUUAAGCAUCAUUUAAGCAAGAAUCUAGAGAAAGAAUAGUCCCAUCAAACAAUAGACAGUUCAAAUUCAUUAGAAAGAUAUAUUGAUGAUAAAGAGAGGACAAUCACCUCAGAUACAUUGUCAUCAAGCCCAGAUUCAGAAUGCGAGGGAGAUGAUAGUGAAUAAACUGUUCCUUUUAGGACGGCCUUUUCCCUCUCUCUGUUAGCCUCCAUUAAGGCACGUUCCAACAGAGCUUUUGCCUCCUGAUUAAGCUCGCUUAUGAACUUCAAAGGCCACGGCCAGACAAGAGGCUCUGCGGAAGAAGGAUUCAGCAAAGCUGCACAUGCUCCAUGGUGAUGCCGUAGAGCCACUACAUAAGGUAUUCUCCUAAAUCAUGUUCAUGAGGGCUAUAAUAUUAGAUCUACGACUACUGAAAGUCAUUUCUCUGAAGAAAAAAAUUAUCAAAAGUUUAUAUAAUCGAGACAGAUGGAGACUUUGUUUUGCACUCUAACUUCUGUUCUGACAUAUGAUAAAAGCAAAAUUCAUUACUUCGACAAGAAAACCAAAUAUUAUUGUUCUAAAACUCCAUAAGCAUUUCAAAAAUGUUAAAUGACGAAGUAAGAAUUUUAUUAGUGUGUGACAAAUGCUCCAGCUGAAUCAAUAUGGAUACACUUAGUACGGAAAAUUAAAUAAGAAAUAGAUACCCUGAUGCAUCUCUUUGAAGUCGAUCAGCACCCCAAGCCAACAAUUCGCGGAUGCAAUCAAGAGAACCACCUCUUGCAGCCAAAUGAAGGGCAGUGCUGCCUGGAAAGCUGUCAACAAGAAAUUAUCAAUUUAAAAUUUGCUUGACACAAGCCAAGGGACAGUCUACAAAAGUCAUGAUAAUAAGAUUACCCAUAUCCACUGGUUGAAGCACAGACAAGAGAGCUAUUGUCUAGUAAUAUAUGAACACAUUCAGGCCGUCUUUGACGGGCAGCCAAGUGCAGAGGGGUUGCUCCUUUGCCAUCUCUAAUAUUCACAAAACGAGCAUAUCCCCUGUAAAUCAAAUCAAAGUACACGGAAUUCUAGAGAGCAAAUGGGAUACUAAUUCAAGAGGAAAAUAAUGCCAAACACAAUAUAUUCAAUUGUAAACUACAGUGUUAAUUUUUAGGUGUAUUUUGGGUUCAACACUAUAUUGGAUAUUCCAUACAUGUUAGGCUGUCCUAAUAUUCUGACAUAUGAAAAGAAUAUUUUUUAGGAUUCGAGAGUUGAAACCUGAAUAAAUGGAUGGACAUGACUUUCAAGUCCAGGGUGAACCAUUAUAAAUUCAUGUGCCUCUGAUUCCACUUUACUCAAUAUCGCUAUCUUGAGAUUACGGCUUAGGUCCUAGCAAAGUAAAGUCAAUCUUUACCAAGAAACCUACCAAGAAAUAGAAACCUGGGAGGUGCGAGCAGUCAUAAGAAUAGCUUGAAGGCAAUCAGAAUGACCAUAGUAGGCAGCAUAGUGCAAGCAGGUCCUUCCAUUUAGUGAAUCAAACAUUAAAAUCUGGCCCAAUAUUCAACAUUAGCCCCAUCAAUUAUGAAACACCAACACACAUGUAAAUGCAUAUAUAUAAGGACAGACUACUUGAAAAUGCCUCGAUAGAGAAGAUAAGUGAUUGGUAAAAAGCAUACAUUUGCCCCAGCUUCAAUGAGUUUUUUCACACAGGAGAUCUUUCCAUGCAUUGCAGCCAACAUCAAUGGAGUCUAAAUUGACCAAUCAAACAUAUAUCAGAUAUUAAUUCUCAAGAAUCAAUAACAAGAUCAAAUCAAAUAUUUACAGCCAUUUCGAAGAGAUCAAGAUGAACACACCUGCUUGUGGCGAUUCAAUAAAUCGGGAUUGACAGAUCGGUCCAAAAGCAUAGAAAGAAUCUGAAAUCCCCAAAUCCGACAAAUCAAAACCAGAAAUGAGAAAAACAUCAAAAUUUCAUGAACAAAGAAAAUUACGAAGAAGCCCACCUCGAUUUGGCCAUUAGCUGCAGCGAUAUGCAAAGCAGAGUGGCGAUCAUACACUGUAGAGCGAUUAAUAAGAGUUGGUUCCCUUUCCAAAACAGCCUCAACGGUCUCAAAAUCCCCCAACUGCACAGCACUGAACAGCGCCUGCUCCUCACUGGUCCUGCAACUCAGCCCCUGACCCAUUAUCCCUUUAAAGAUUUAUAAAUAUUGUAAUUGGGAUUGUGUAUGGAUAUGUAGGUGGUGGAGCACCUCCACCGGGAAUCAUGCACCGCCGUGGAAAGUGGCAGUGGGGGUGGCGGAAUAGGAGAGUGCUUCAUAUAUUGAUUCAUAUAUUUAUGUGGGUUUAGGAAGCUUGGAGCUGCCCGGGAAGGGCAGGGGAAAAGGGCGGGUAACUGACCGUGUCAGUAACAAGGUGGGACAGCGGGCAGCAGUCAGAUAUUUUUCGGACAGUUGGAUUCCCAAAAUAAUAGAAUAGAGCUCAGUUUCACACAUUUGCAGUUGAUAAUGUGCGGUGAAAAUUGCAGCGAAGGUCUCUCACUAUGAGUUUUGUGCAAAUAGAACCUUAAGAUUUAAUUUUUAUCAUUCACAUAAUUUGCAAUUCAUAUUUUAUGGAAGAUUUAGUCCUUAUCAACGGAUUUCAUAAAAAUUACUAUUUUUGAAAUAGCUCAUGCUUAACACUUGUUUACUUUGAUCAUAUCAUGCAACAUGUAAAAAUCGGAUGAUCUAUCAACUAGUAAUUUAAGAAAGGACCGAGACAAAGACCCAAAAAUAUUUAAAAGAAUCAAGAAUUAAAAUUAAUUAAUAAAUGAGGGUGAAUCAAUCGAUUUUUGUGGUGAGCCUAUCACUUCUACUUGGGUUCUUUUAAGUUUUAAAGGAAUCUAAAAAUUCGUUUUUUACUCAUAAUUCGGCAAGAUUUUAAAAUCAUUCCUCCAUUUUCAGUCGAAUUGUCUCAUCUAAUUUUCAUAACAUGGUUUAACAGUAACGGGUACAUAAAGGACUAAAUUGCAGCAAAUAGGAAAUAUGGAGAAUGAGAAUGCUAUGAGUUAAAGGUUGAGAAUUUAUUUGCACAAUAUGAAUAAGGUAGGGACCUCUACUUACAAUGUUCCUCAACAUUUGUGUGAGUCAACGUUUGAUGAGCAUUGAUUGGUGUUUGCGCUUUGUCCAAAUUCCAAGCUUUCAUACUCUUAUUAGAAUGUUCAACGUAGGGUAUGUCGGUAUGAUUCAAAUAACGUUAUAAAAUUGAUUUUAAUUAUAGCUUGUUUGAGCCUAUUUUGAGGGAAAAUAUAUUUUAAAUUAGUAUUUUGUGAAGAAUGUUUGUUUAAAAAAGAAGAACAAAAAUUCGAUUUACGUAUAAAAUUAUUUUAUUAAAAAAUGUGUGGUUAAAAAUGAAUUUUCGUAAAAUAGGGCUCAAACAAGAAUUUAAUAUUUAAUACAUAACUUUUAAUGAUCUACGCCCUUCCCUUAGCGCCUCACUAAGCGAGGGCUCACAACCGAAGGAUGCACGGAGUGAGGUUACCUAUGACGCCACUCCUUUCUAGCGUAUGGAAUAGCUUUUGAAGAUCUCAAAAAUAAGUUUGUGUUUGUAUGUAAAUGCAUUUGUUUCGUUGCGAUUAAAAUUGACAAUGGGAUGGAAUUAAUCAAUCCCAAGGAUGCCCGCCCCAUCCCUAUCUCGAUUAGAGAUUGAAAAGAAUAACGACGUUGUAGGUCAAGUGCACAUGAAGCUUAGGCCCCGUUUAGUAUACGUUAAUGUAAAAAUGAGAAUGAAAAAUAUAAUUGUUACGGACCCCACACAAGAAAUAGAAAGUCGAAUAUGGUGACUUGAUGUGAUGGAUAACGAACAUAUUUUUCAUUUUAAUGAGUAAAAAAUGGAACCAAACGGGGGCUUAAUGUUUUUUAAUAAUAGCUCUUUUUUGAGAAAGUUUAUUCAAGUUUUUCUCUGGCAAGUAAAAUGAACUUAGCCAAAGUUGAAAUUUCAUACCCUACUAGUCUAAUUCACCAAUCUUGUAUCCAUCCUUGACCCGGAAACUUUUUUUAAUCAGUAAUUGCUGGUAUCAGUUUGUUAAUAAUCCAAUAAAUUAAUGUAAUAAUAUUAAUAAUUCUAGGUGAUAAACUUGGAAAAUUGAACUGGGAUUGCUUAUGCGCGUGCAGCUAACAUUGAUUUUAUAAUUUCCUAAUAUUUCAACUUUUCCCUUUCAAUAGGAUUUUGAAUUACUUAAGAAAAAUAUUUCUAUAAUUGUACAAGAUAAGAUUAAUUAUUUUGUCACGUGUGUAUGAAUUAUAUUUAUUCACUCAAGAAAAUCAGAAUAAAAUAUCUUGCAAAAGGAUUUGAAUAAAUUUUCUUGUCAUGUCAAAGCCAAAAAUAUCUUGUGCAAGUUUAAAGAGUGAUAUACUUACAAGUGUAGAUUUGUGAAUUGAAAAAGGGCCACGCAGCUUUUGAGUCACUUUUAAAUGUGGUCUGCAGUUAGCCCUUUUAUGUCGACAGAUAUACGUGCUAAAGCUGGUUGAAAUGUACCUAUCAAGUAGGGCUCCACAAAAAAAUUUCGAAAUUACAAAUCGAAUCGAAAUCGUUGAGUGGAAACCGUUGGUUCGGGUCCACGUGGACCCGUGGUUUCUUUUUUCUCAAACCGAACCAAAUCGUUUCAAAAUAGUUUGGUUUAGGUUUUGAUUUUCAAAAACCGCACAAAAUCGAACCGAACCGUUUUUAAAUUUUUUAAUUAAAAAAAUAAUUUUAUUAUCUUAAAAAUCUUACAGUUUUCACUUUUCAAAAUAAAAAACCAAUUUAACAAUACAAAUUACAACUAACUUAUUGAAAUAAUCAUAGAAAGUAAAUUAGGUUCAUCAUUAUUGACAUAUGAUUUAAUAGGUUCACGACACAUGUCAUCGCUUGAUAUCUAAACUAAACUAAAAUUAUUCCAAAAUCACAUGAAAUGAAAAAAAAAAUUUAGCAAUCCAAAUCAUAAUUUAGCCCCCGUUUGAUUCACAUUAUUUGCUCAUUAAAAUGAAAAAUAUGACCGUUAUCCAUCACAUCAAAUCACCAUAUUUGAUUUUCUAUCUCUACUAUAUUUUUCAUUCUCAUUUUUUCAUUAAUGUAUAUCAAACGGGGCCUUAAUAAAACCACAUCAGUAAAUCACGUCCAAAGUUUCAGAAACCCUAACAUAAGCUCUUAUUUUCCUAACAUUUGACGCUUGUCUACCACCGCUGAACGAAUCACCAGUCGCCUUUACCUGUUAGUCUACUAAUAUUUUCUUGAAUCGCCUCUUUCUCUCUUCUCUUUCGAUAAGUCUUAGAUUUUUAUUUAAGCCAUUUUUCUUUGUUCUUUCUUUAAUUUUUUUUUAACUUAUUAUACAUUUGUAAGUUGUGGUUUAGAUAGAAAAAUGAUUGUUUGUGUGCUUAGAUAAUUAAUGAACUUGUUUUUUAUUUGAAAAGAACGAAUGACGAAGCGUAUUGAUUGUAUGAAAAAUGUUAAAGUUCUCUAACUAGUACUACUACCUUUUACUUUACAUCUCAUUAGAAAAAUAAAAAAGAGUUUUAACUAAACUAUAAUAAUAGAAUGUAACUCUAUAUUUACCAACCGUUAUAUAACAAUGUGAAUGUCAAACAAGAAAGAGUAAGUAAAAAUGAAGAAAUAUGUAUUCGUUCUAUUAGUUCAAUACAUUAUUAUAAUGUCGAAAGGCAAACCGCGAAUUAAAACCGAAUCAAACCGUAAAUUAUGUUUUGGUUUGAUUUGGUUUGAAAAAUAAAAUGGUUUGAUUUGGUUUGAAAAAAUUUCAAACCGCUAAAAAUGGUUUGAGUUGAAAAUAUAGCACAAACCGUCCAAAUCGAACCGCGUCCAUCCUACUAUCAAGGCACACUACGUGCUAACUAAGUGUUAUCAUACGAGUUUUGAAUUUGCACAUAAUAUUUGGGUGUAUGUAAUAUGUAUAAAAUUUAAUGUACAUUACGUGGAUUUCGUGCUAACUAAGGCAUUAUAACACAAGUUUUGAGUUUGCAAGUAAUAUUUGAAGUGUAUGAUAUGUGUACAAUUUUUUAUGUACAUUGCGACACAAGUAUUUAUAUUGUCAAAAAUCAAUUUUAUGAAUAAAGUAAAUUCUAAAUAGAUAGUCAAGCACAAACGUCUUCUUAAUCGAUAAACGACGAACCAUGUUAGAGAGAACUGAUUUGAAAAAGUUGUUGAUGCGAACCCGCGUAGCACGAUCACUACCAAACCAACAACAAAUUGAGAAUCAAACCCAAGAAAAUCAAAGACAAGAUUUUGGAUUAAACCCAAUAAACUGGAACCAAGCAACUCGAAUCGCCGACAAUAUACGGACCUCUUGAUUACACAAUUUAAAUGAAUCUCACCCGGUUGAUUUGAACAUCACAAGAUUAAUCUUGAUAAGUUCACAAGCUGUUCAACGAAGAACGAGAGAAAGCAAUUAAUGCCUCACGAAUAAUAUUCAAUAAUAUAAGAGUUGUAAUGUUUUACAAUAAGGAAUAAAGUAUUUAUAUUAUUCUAGAGAACCUAAGUAAACUAGGAAAAAUAUCUAAGAAUAAUACAAAAUUCGUUCACAAUAGCCUAAUAUGGUAAAAAUCUACUAAUAACGAAAUUCUAUUAAAAUAAGGAAAAAAAGGCGAAAUUUGGAAAAAUUCGCCUCGGAAUUUGCCUAUGCAGCCGCAUAGCUUUAGAGCACGCGGUCGCAUAGUGCAAUUGGUCUGCGACUUUGGGACUUCUGCUGGGUAUAUGCGACCGCGGGACUUUAGACCUGUGCGGCCGCAUGGUUUAAUGCUCCAGCUCCGUUUUCUUAAGCUUUAAAUAUGUUGAUCCAAUACUCUUCGAACUUCAUCCCCAACACGAAACUUACUCCAUUUUGCAUCUCGAACAUUGCUUCAUCAACCGGUUGCUUUGACGAGCAGUCUCAUCGCCUCUUUCACGCGCUUGGCCCUCGAUCGCGUCAUCGGCCCCUCGAUUAUCAACGGAUCUUUCCUCGAGCUCAACUCUGGACUUGACUUUGGUACUUGUGCUUCCUGGAUCACGUCAUCCCCUCCCUCUUCGAAAAGAUUUGACCUCGAAUUUGCACCUACAUCGAAAAGAGAUAAGUCAGAAACAUUGAAAGUUGCAUAAACACUAUACUCACCUGAAAGAUAUAUCUUAUAAGUGUUGUCGUUGAUCUUCUCAAUCACUUGGAACGGUCCAUCUCCUCGUGACAAUAACUUUGAUUUUCUUUGCUCUGGGAAUCGCUCUUUUCUGAAAUACACCCAAACCCAAUCUCCUGAUUCGAAAGUGACAUAUUUCCGACCUUUGUUUGCUUGUGUUGUGCGUUGAUUGUUCUUCCUCUCUAUUUGUUCCCUUACCUUUUCAUGGAGUGUUUUCACCAAUUCAGCUUUCUUUUUCUCAUCCAAGCUACCUCAUUCAUUCACAGGCAAAUGUAUUAAAUCCAUAGGUGUUAAAGGAUUAAAACCAUAAACAAUUUCAAAUGGUGAAAACGACGUAGUAGAAUGCGUGGCCCUAUUAUAUGCAAACUCAAUGAAAGGCAAACAUUCUUCCCAAUUCUUAAGAUUUUUGUUAACCACAAUGCACAAUAGUUGUGUCAUUGUUCUAUUCACUACUUCAGUUUGACCAUCGAUUUGUAGGUGGCAAAUUGUAGAAAAUAAUAAUUUCGUGCUUAACUUAUUCCACAAGACCCGCCAAAAGUGACUAAGAAACUUAACAUCCCUAUCGGACACAAUACUUUUGGGAACACCAUGCAAACGCACUACUUCUUUGAAAAACAAGUCCGCAAUGUUAGUGGCAUCAUCGGUUUUGUGACAUGGUAUAAAGUGUGUUAGAUGAACAAGUAAUAGUACACGUGCAUGUUUGGCAAAGCUUAAAUUAUAGUUUAAACUAAUCGAAUAUAUUUGUUAUUCACGCAUUUCAUAAAAUCAAUAAUUUAUAAUCACUUAAAAGCAUACCCAAACAUACUCCAAUUGAUUCUUCAAUGGAAGUUCUUGAAAGCAAGGAAUAAGCUUAUAUUCAAGAUUUGAAAAUAAAAUCUCUGAAUGAGUAUUUCCCUUCUAUGAGUGCUUUUUUCUCUUACAUCCUGAAAAUUGACAGGCAUUAUUGUAUGUAAGAUCUGUUACUUGUGUGGUGUCCCAUCAGCAUAAGUAAUGUAGAAGUCGUUUCUUGAUCGUCUCUUCUAAGUAACAGUGAAACCAUCCAUUCUAGCAUCUUCAUCUUUAUUAGGAGUCUCCUACAUCAUAAAGUCAGAUUAGGUCCCAUUGUAACUAAAAAGCUACCACAUCAGACUCUUCAAUUAUCAUACAGAGACUUGCCGUGGCAUCGUCGGACUGAUUGUGGCCAUAUCCCGACAAGGAUCAAUUUAUUUGAAAUUGAAAUAAAGAUAAACCUACUUAUACAUAAUUUUUUGUACAUUAAAGUAUCCAUACACUCACAUGGGAUGGAGCCCACUCUAAUAUUUUGUUCGAAUGAACCCCAUCGCAUAUGAGUAUGGGAUACCUUAAUAUAUAAAAAGUUAUGUACACCAAAAAAAACCCUUGAAAUAACUCCACUGAAGGCGGCCCCAAUGGGAGGACGAUUCGAGGAGGACGUAUUCGAUUGUGUUUAGAAGCUGCAUAUCUAAUAAUCGAGUUAAAAUAAUGCCAUCUAUUGCUUGUGUAGAUCAUUGUUAUUGCAUUGUAAUGUCACCUAAACUGAUGAUGACCGUCGAUUUGUAUAAAAUUGCUAUUUUUGCAAAUCAAGAUGUUCAACUUUUAGCUUUUGUGGCACUUAUUGUUUACCUUUCAAUCAUAAUAUAUUAUUUGAACUUUAAAAUGUGUAUUUGAGUACUGGUUAUAAAUAAAUAAAAAAGAAAAAUAUAAAAUUAGUCCAUCCUAUCCGGUCUCGAACAUCAGAUUGCAUUUAGACGAAGCAUUUUAUCCCACACCAGAUGUCACCUUCAGACUUCAAGUCCACCAAAGGGCACCACCGCAGCCAUCUUGUUUCAAAGUCACUAAGUCAAACAGCCUUUUUGACCUUAGGAAAAUAAAGCAAAGGAAUAGGCAUAAAACAAGAAAUUAACAAGGGGUACACGUUUCAAUAACACCAAAAAAAUAUAAAAGAAGUAAAAGCAUCUCAUGAUAAUAGUCGCAGCUACCUUUUUUUCCAAUAGAUGGUAAUCUUCAAGCACGAUAACUUAACUCUUAAAUAUAAUCAACUUUUUUGUAUAAUAAUCAUGAUUGUACCUAUUCAUACUAUCAACUUUUGAGAGAGUACAUGCUCAUCUAGAUUCUCAAGGAUUUCUCUCGUGUUUUCUUCACAACUUAAGACAUCAAUCUUAUCGACACUUUAAGUUGAAUGUAGAACCAAACUAGUAACUUGCUAGAGACAUUAAAUAAAUCUAUGUAGAACCAAUCGAGUAACUUGCUAGAGACAUGAAAUAAAUCUACGAGCACAAGGUGAACACAGACCCUUAUAAUAAGGCUAAAACCCCAGAGGAAUCCCAAUCGCUAAAAUUAGGAACUCGGGUAAGAAGGAAACGACGCUCUUUCACCUUAAUCGAAUGGAAAAUGAGUUUCUUACCAAGUUCACAAAGCCUUGCUCAAAUCAUGGAUACCAAUCAUGCAUUAGAGUUGAUAAUAUCUAACCACGUGGCAGCAUUGAGGUUAAUCAGUGUCUCCGGGUCCCAUGAUAGGUAAACCUUAUCUUACUGUCUGAAUAUGUAUAACCAGAAUAUGAGAGGACAAUACAAAAACAUUAAACCAAAAGAGGGACAAUGAUCACAUGAGAAGCAUCAGUUGAACAAUUCCAAUCUUCUCCCAAAUUAUUGGUUUUUAUUUUUUCUCACUUGUUUCUUACAAGGAACAACAUUGAAUACAAUAAUACAAACAUUAGGUGGGAUCAAACUUGUUGCAUCACUUGCUUCGAUCUCAUGUUUACUUUACAAGGUACCACCACACAAUUAAGAAUAUUUAAAUCUUAAUAAAAACCGAAAAAGAAUUCUUCCUAUUGAAAAACUCUAAU
rnacentral:lncRNA from 1 species